rnacentral:rRNA from 1 species
UACAGAGGGUGCGAGCGUUGUUCGGAAUUAUUGGGCGUAAAGGGCGCGUAGGCGGCGCCACAAGUCACUUGUGAAAACUCUGGGCUCAACUCAGAGCCUGCAAGCGAAACUGUGGUGCUGGAGUAUGGGAGAGGUGCGGUGGAAUUCCCGGUGUAGCGGUGAAAUGCGUAGAUAGUCGGGAGGAACACCUGUGGCGAAAGCGGCGCACUGGACCAUAACUGACGCUGAGGCGCGAAAGCUAGGGGAGCAAACAGG